AGCCCUGCACCGCCCGGUCGUCGGAGGCUGCGGGGUCGCUAGCGCCGAGAGCCGGAGCCCUAGGAGUUACGUGCUUUUCUCCUCCGUGACAUCACCUGAGACACUGGUCUGGUAUUAGCCGCCAUGAGAGGACCACGUGAGGAUUUCCCGCCCACUCCCGGAAGCCAGCCCUCUGCUCACACAGACCUGCAUAAUAUUGAGCCUACCAGCAAGUUGCCAUGGAUAAUGGAGGAAGGCCAAAAGGAAAAAAAUGACGUCAAAAUAGAAGAGGGACUAUUUGGGAAAAGAAGGGGUUCCAUGGAAGGAGGGACAAAAGAAAAUAGCGGGAGGGAGUUCUUAUCAAAAUACAUUAUUUAGCCCAGCUUGGUGGCACACGCCUUUAAUGCCAAUAUUAGGGAGGCUGAGGUAGGAGGAUUAUUGUGAGUUCCAGGCCAGCUUGGGGUUAAAGUGAGACCCUACCUCAAAAAACCUAUGUGUAUGCAUGAAAACUGUCACUAAAAAGUUAAGUGGUUAAAAAAA